rnacentral:rRNA from 1 species
GACGAACGCUGGCGGCGCGCUUAACACAUGCAAGUCGAGCGAAGCGGCGGACGGGUGAGUAACACGUGAGUAACCUGCCUUAGACAUUGGGAUAGCCUCGGGAAACCGGGAUUAAUACCAAAUGGUCUAAGAUGGACUCGCGUCCCAUUAGCUAGUUGGUGGGUAACGGCCCAACAAGGCGACGAUGGGUAGCCGGGCUGAGAGGGUGAACGGCCACAUUGGAAGUGGGAAACAGUCCAAACUCUACGGGAGGGAGCAGUGGGGAAUAUUGCACAAUGGAGGGAGCGCUGAUGCAGCGACGCCGCGUGAACAAAGAAGGCUUUCGAGUCGUAAAGUUCGUUUAUAUGGGAAGCGGUACCAUAAGAAAAAGCCCCGGCUAACUACGUGCCAGCCGCCGCGGUAAUUC